rnacentral:rRNA from 1 species
CAGCCGCCGCGGGAAUACGUAGGGUGCAAGCGUUGUCCGGAAUCAUUGGGCGUAAAGCGCGCGUAGGUGGCCAUUUAAGUCCGCUGUGAAAGUCAAAGGCUCAACCUUUGAAAGCCGGUGGAUACUGGAUGGCUAGAGUACGGAAGAGGCGAGUGGAAUUCCUGGUGUAGCGGUGGAAUGCGCAGAUAUCAGGAGGAACACCAAUAGCGAAGGCAGCUCGCUGGGACGUUACUGACACUGAGGCGCGAAAGCGUGGGGAGCGAACAGGAUUAGAUACCCGCGUAGUCCCUGUCUCUUAUAC